CCAGUUCUUCCACAGGUCAAUGCCUGCGUGAGGAAAGUAUGAAUUAUUCCAAAGCACAGAGUGCUGCAGUGUGUGUGUCUGUGUUUGUUGCUCCAGGAACUUCAACACAGCUUCUCCCCUGUGCCUGGCUCUGAGGGACUGGCUCUCUGGUUGCCCAUAUUUUGCUUUUCAAGAG